UACAGAGGUCUCAAGCGUUGUUCGGAAUCACUGGGCGUAAAGGGUGCGUAGGUGGCGUGGUAAGUCAGAUGUGAAAGCCCGGGGCUCAACCUCGGAACUGCAUCCGAUACUGCCAUGCUAGAGAACUGAAGAGGAGUGUAGAAUUCUCGGUGUAGCAGUGAAAUGCGUAGAUAUCGAGAGGAAUACCAACGGCGAAGGCAGCACUCUGGGCAGUUUUUCUGACACUGAGGCACGAAGGCUAGGGGGAGCAAACGGG
rnacentral:rRNA from 1 species